rnacentral:lncRNA from 1 species
CUGUAGAAGGCAAGCAUACGGAACUCCGUCUGGUAUUUCUUCCUGGAAACAAACCUACUCUCAGAAAACCCAUUGAAGUCCCUGUUUUACAACUAACAUAAUGGGCGUGUGGAAAUGCCUCUCCAUCCACCAGGGGGCAGAAACGAACCCUUUGAUUGGCCAGAGAUCUUUGGACUUCAACUUUGAUUUGGAAUAGUUGUAAUUUGCAUAGCCUUUUCACUCUCAGACAUCACUCUUUCUGUCACUAGGAACAUAACCAUAUAGACUUUUCAAAGAAACCUCUUAAUUCUGUGUGAAACUCUAAACUUCACUCUACCAAUAAACUUCCCCACAUUCACACUAGAGAGAUGUGAUGGGAAUGCUGGGUCUUACAUAUGGUGGUCUUCAUAUUUUCGUGGAUUUGUCUUUUGAGGCAUGGAGUGCCUGACCUUUGCGUAUGCAAGAUUCGCUAGCAUGUAAACUCUGUCACUGUCUCCCAAGAACACAGAAACAG